rnacentral:rRNA from 1 species
AGAACGAACGCUGGCGGCAUGCCUAAUACAUGCAAGUCGAACGAACUCUUCGGAGUUAGUGGCGCACGGGUGCGUAACGCGUGGGAAUCUGCCCCUUGGUUCGGAAUAACAGUUGGAAACGACUGCUAAUACCGGAUGAUGACGAAAGUCCAAAGAUUUAUCGCCAAGGGAUGAGCCCGCGUAGGAUUAGCUAGUCGGUGAGGUAAAGGCUCACCAAGCCUUCGAUCUGUAGCUGGUCUGAGAGGACGACCAGCCACACUGGGACUGAGACACGGCCCAGACUCCUACGGGAGCAGCAGUGGGGAAUUUGGACAAUGGGCG